UACGAAGGGGGCUAGCGUUGCUCGGAAUCACUGGGCGUAAAGCGCACGUAGGCGGCUUUUUAAGUCAGGGGUGAAAUCCUGGAGCUCAACUCCAGAACUGCCUUUGAUACUGAGAGCUCGAGUCCGGGAGAGGUGAGUGGAACUGCGAGUGUAGAGGUGAAAUUCGUAGAUAUUCGCAAGAACACCAGUGGCGAAGGCGGCUCACUGGCCCGGUACUGACGCUGAGGUGCGAAAGCGUGGGGAGCAAACAGGG
rnacentral:rRNA from 1 species